rnacentral:rRNA from 1 species
AUUGAACGCUGGCGGCAGGCCUAACACAUGCAAGUCGAGCGGAUGAGAGGAGCUUGCUUCUCGAUUCAGCGGCGGACGGGUGAGUAAUGCCUAGGAAUCUGCCUGGUAGUGGGGGACAACGUUUCGCAAGGAACGCUAAUACCGCAUACGUCCUACGGGAGAAAGCAGGGGACCUUCGGGCCUUGCGCUCUCAGAUGAGCUUGGGUCGGAUUAGCUAGCUGGUGAGGUAAUGGCUCACCAAGGCGACGAUCCGUAACUGGUCUGAGAGGAUGAUCAGUCACACUGGAACUGAGACACGGUCCAGACACCUACGGGAGGCAGCAGUGGGGAAUAUUGGACAGUGGGCGAAAGCCUGAUCCAGCCAUGCCGCGUGUGUGAAGAAGGUCUUCGGAUUGUAAAGCACUUUAAGUUGGGAGGAAGGGUUGUAGAUUAAUACUCUGCAAUUUUGACGUUACCGACAGAAUAAGCACCGGCUAACUCUGUGCCAGCCGCCGCGGUAAGAC